rnacentral:rRNA from 1 species
AAUAGAUACCCAGGUAGUCCACGCCGUAAACGGUGGGCACUAGGUGUGGGGACCAUUCCACGGUCUCUGCGCCGCAGCUAACGCAUUAAGUGCCCCGCCUGGGGAGUACGGCCGCAAGGCUAAAACUCAAAGGAAUUGACGGGGGGCCCGCACAGGCGGCGGAGCAUGCGGCUUAAUUCGAAGCAACGCGAAGAGCCUUACCUAGGCUUGACAUGCAGGGAAAUCUGGCAGAGAUGCCAGGUCCUUCGGGGCCGUUGCACAGGUGGUGCAUGGCUGUCGUCAGCUCGUGUCGUGAGAUGUUGGGUUAAGUCCCGCAACGAGCGCAACCCUCGUUCUAUGUUGCCAGCGGUUCGGCCGGGGACUCAUAGAAGACUGCCGGGGUCAACUCGGAGGAAGGUGGGGAUGACGUCAAGUCAUCAUGCCCCUUAUGUCUAGGGCUGCACGCAUGCUACAAUGGUCGGUACAAAGGGCUGCAAUACCGCAAGGUGGAGCGAAUCCCAAAAACGCCGGCCGUCAGUUCGGAUUGGGGU